rnacentral:rRNA from 1 species
GACGAACGCUGGCGGCGUGCCUAAUACAUGCAAGUCGAACGCAGUGGGGACGGGUGAGUAACACGUGGGUAACCUCCCAUCAGAGGGGAUAACAGUUGGAAACAGGUGCUAAACCGAUACUGAUGGAUGGACCCGCGGUGCAUUAGCUAGUGUGUGAGGUAACGGCUCACCAAGGCCACGAUGCAUAGCCGACCUGAGAGGGUGAUCGGUCACACUGGAACUGAGACACGGCCCAGACUCCUACGGGAGGCAGCAGUAGGGAAUCUUCGGCAAUGGGCGAAAGACUGACCCAGCAAUGCCGCGUGUGUGAAGAAGGUUUUCGGAUCGUAAAGCUCUGUUGUUAGAGAAGCGUUAUCUAAACAGAAAGCAACGGCUAACUACGUGCCAGCAGCCGCGGUAAUUC